UACGAAGGGGGCUAGCGUUGCUCGGAAUGACUGGGCGUAAAGGGCGCGUAGGCGGCUCAUACAGUCAGAUGUGAAAUUCCUGGGCUUAACCUGGGGGCUGCAUUUGAUACGUGUGGGCUUGAGUGGGGAAGAGGGUCGUGGAAUUCCCAGUGUAGAGGUGAAAUUCGUAGAUAUUGGGAAGAACACCGGUGGCGAAGGCGGCGACCUGGUCCGUGACUGACGCUGAGGCGCGAAAGCGUGGGGAGCAAACAGG
rnacentral:rRNA from 1 species